GGUGAAAUUGUAAUUCCGGUGAAGAUGCCGGAUACCUGCGACAGGACGGAAAGACCCCAUGGAGCUUUACUGUAGCUUGACAUUGGGUCUUGGUACUACAUGUACAGGAUAGGUGGGAGGCUUUGAAGCCAGGACGCCAGUUUUGGCGGAGCCAUCCUUGGGAUACCACCCUUGUAGUACUGGGACUCUAACCAUAGGCCAUGAAUCUGGUCUUGGGACACUGUCAGGUGGGCAGUUUGACUGGGGCGGUCGCCUCCCAAAAGGUAACGG
rnacentral:rRNA from 1 species